GAUGAACGCUGGCGGCGUGCCUAAUACAUGCAAGUCGAGCGAACGGACGAGAAGCUUGCUUCUCUGAUGUUAGCGGCGGACGGGUGAGUAACACGUGGAUAACCUACCUAUAAGACUGGGAUAACUUCGGGAAACCGGAGCUAAUACCGGAUAAUAUUUUGAACCGCAUGGUUCAAAAGUGAAAGACGGUCUUGCUGUCACUUAUAGAUGGAUCCGCGCUGCAUUAGCUAGUUGGUAAGGUAACGGCUUACCAAGGCAACGAUGCAUAGCCGACCUGAGAGGGGGAUCGGCCACCCUGGAGCUGAGACACGGUCCAGACUCCUAAGGGAGGCAGCAGUAGGGAAUGUUCGGCAAUGGGCGAAAGCCUGACGGAGCAACGCCGCGUGAGUGAUGAAGGUCUUCGGAUCGUAAAAAUCUGUUAUUAGGGAAGAACAUCUGUGUAAGUAACUGUGCACAGCUUGACGGUACCUAAUAAGAAAGCAACGGCUAACUACGUG
rnacentral:rRNA from 1 species